rnacentral:lncRNA from 1 species
UUUGGGUGCUUACCCCUAGUUUAAGGUGGCAGCUUGGACAUAGGGAUGUUAAACUAGCAUAUGGCAAUAUCCAGCUACAUUAUGAUGGUGUUUCCCUCAAUCAUGUUUGUCAUCCAAUUUGGGUCACACCAAAUCCUUUGUGAGUGAGUCUUUUUUCUAUAUUUACUCUUUUGUUAUUCUAUAUGUUCUUGUUUUACCCCGAAAGUCGACUAAAUUUCUUAAAAGAGUAUUUACAAUCUCAUUUACCUUUAGACUUGGCUGAUGCAUCUUCAAGGUAUGUUGUGUUGGAAUGCACUGCUGCCUUCUAAUCUUCACUACAUCCUUAGUGAAUAAAAAAAAGAAACAAAUGGUUGAAGGAUUUAUAAAAUUAAAAUGUUUAAUAGAUUUGUAAAUUAAUUUUCUUUUUGAAAGUAAUGGAACUUUAUGAUGUCUCAUUGGAUUACUUGUUUCGUGCAAGAACUAGGUUUGAGUUAGUGCACUAACUAGGUUGUUUUUUCUCGCCUAAUGGCUCUAUCUCUGGAAGCCUCUUAGGAGGUUCCAAAUUUCACUGAUGAUGUUAAUAUUAGGAAGAGAUGCGACGAAUAUACUGAUAGAGAAACAAUUAAAUGCAAAAAGUAGAUUGUUUACUGUUGUUCUGGACCCUCAAUGUUGUGUGACCUGAGACUAAAUUGUUUGGUUCUUUUCUGCUUUUCUAUUUAGUGCCAACAAUAAAUGUUGUGUUGAUAAAGAAAUCACCCUAUUUCAAGUGAUGUUAUCCAUAUUUGUAUAGUGAUAUGGUUUUAUCAUUAUUAUUUCUUUCUUGUAAUUUCUCUGCUAUAUUAACCCUCUACACAUGGACUAUCUUACCUUAUCAGAUUGAUUAAGUCACAGUCAUUAGAAAAUAGCAAGCCAACAAAUAUUUAUAUAGAUGUACUUGUAUAAAGUUUUUGGCUGUUUGCUUGUAUCUUGUCAACAAUUUGCAUGUUUAACUCCCCGAUGACUAUGAGAAGUUUGUACACUAGAAUUUCUAAUCUUUAGUUUGAGUAAAUCCAUGGAAUCUGAAACCUUAGAGUUCAAAAUAACACUCUUCAGAGUAGGAUAUGAGGAAGAUAUUGCUCUUUAACUGUUAUGUCUCCUUUAUUAUCGCUUUUGGCCGUUUAUUUAGCGUCACACUUUUUUGACAGGCAUCCGCAUGAUCCAUCAAAUCCAGUUAAAUCUGGUGAUGUUCAUAAGAUUAUUGAGAAUCUUUCCUAGAAGCAGAGGCUUAUGACUCAAGUUAUUUUGGAUGUUAAAAAUGUAGCAUAAUUUGCACCUACACAUCUAGUAGUGUAAGUUAGUUUUGUUGUUCAACGCUAAAUCAUAUUGUAUUUUAACUGCUCUAUGUACAUGGGGAAUUCUUACUGUUUUCUCAACUACUAUCUAACUUAAGCUUAUCAUAUUAUGUUAGAUAUUGUGAAACAAUGUGAUCAUGUUAGUAAAGCUAAAAAAACUCCUUUGAGUUAUCAAAAGUAUCUGUUGGAUCAAAAUUUAUCGUUCCUCUUUACAAUUACAAGAUCAUGUUCUAGCUUUGAGAAAGGGGGCUUCUUGUAGUAACUUGUAUCGCUAAUGGACAUUGUUUAAGGUAGUGAUAAUGAAGGAAGCAAAUCUGGAGCAAUAUUCAAAAAAUAGUUUGAGACUAAGACGUAGUUUGUGUUGUAUUACCAAAUGAAUAAUGCUAAACACGUGCUUCAUAAACAAGUCAUACCUACAAGUAAUCUUCAUGCAAUUAAUAUGAAGGGGGUAGGAAAAGGCAAAAGAAACUAUGAAUUUUUCUUAGUGGAAAUAUAUCAAGAUACUACUACAAUCAAUACAUUAAGUUUUGUGAUUGUUUCAAUUUCUUGUUGUUUAUCUUUUCAUAUGUAAAAUAUGUGAUUAAUGAAUAAAGAUAAAAGGGCUCUCUAUAGUUAACACAUUUUUGUUGUCAAUCAUAACUUACGAAAAUUUUCAUUUUUUGAGUUAAUAUUGUGUCAUCAGAAAAUCACAAACUAAUGGGUCAUUUGGGUGCUCAUUAGAAUGUGGAACUAUUCAUAUAUCAAAAUUAACAUAAUUAGUACUAUGUUUGGUAGCGUUACAAUUGCUAAAGAUUCCACAUACCAAGUACGGUGUUUAGUUACAUGUUUGCAAUCCCACAUUACUAAUUUGGAAAAACAGUUGUGUGUUUGCCAAAUUUAUUUGAAUGAAUUAAUCUUUACAAGGAUAAAUUUCUAACUCUAUGACUUAAAAAGUUAAAGGGG